AUGGCGAUCCUUAUGGCCAUAGAGCAAUGGCGCCCCUACCUGCAGAAUGAAGAGUUCAUAAUCCGGACAGAUCAGCGAAGUCUAGUCCAUCUCGAUGACCAACACCUCUCCACCCCGUGGCAGCAGAAGGCAUUCACUAAGCUUCUUGGUCUGCGCUACAAAAUUUGCUAUCGCCCAGGUGCUACGAACUCAGCUGCAGACGCGCUGUCGUGA
rnacentral:rRNA from 1 species